rnacentral:sRNA from 1 species
CGUCUUCGGCCUGUUGUGGCGAAAUGAAAUGGAUGUGCGUAUCCACGCCUCCGGCGGUAACGAUCAGAUUCUCACCGGCAAUAAUUUCGGUGCCCGAACCAAUUGCCAUCGUCACAUUCGGUUGAAUAUCGGGAUUUCCGGCUUUGCCGAUAUUAGCGAUUUUGCCAUUUUUAAUGCCGAUAUCCGCUUUGACGAUCCCCCAAUGGUCGACUAUGACUGCAUUGGUAAUCACCGUAUCCAUGACAUCUGCGUGAUUACGUUGCGAUUGACCCAUACCAUCCCG